UACAGAGGUCUCGAGCGUUAGGCGGAAUCACUGGGCUUAAAGCGUGUGUAGGUGGAUGCCUAAGUACCUUGUGAAAUCCCACAGCUUAACUGUGGAACUGCUUGGUAUACUGGGUGUCUUGAGUCACUCAGGGGCGAGCGGAACAAAUGGUGGAGCGGUGAAAUGCGUAGAUAUCGUCUGGAACGCCGAAGGUGAAAACAGCUCGCUGGGGCUGCGCUGACGCUGAGACACGAAAGCCAGGGGAGCGAACGGG
rnacentral:rRNA from 1 species